rnacentral:rRNA from 1 species
CGGGUUUGAUCCUGGCUCAGAGUGAACGCUAGGGGUACGCAUAACACAUGCGAGUCAACGUAUCGUGGCGAACGGGUGAGUACAGCAGGCAAUUACGCCCGGUAGCUCAGAAUAAAUUCUGGAUAAAAAGAUUAAUCGUUGCCGGAUAUGUCUGUGUAGGAUUAGAUAAUCGUAGAGAGUCGAUGAUCCUUAGUUGAUCUGGGAAGGAUGCACAGCCACAUUGGAACUGAGACAAGGUCCAAGCUCCAGUAGGAGGCAGCAGUGAGGAAUAUUGGGCAAUGGGCGAAAGCCUGACCCAACGAUACCCCGUGAUUGAAGAAGACCAAGGUCGUAAAGGUACGCGGUCAGUAAAGAUUACGACGGUAACUGGCCAAAAAGCCCCGGCUAACUCCGUGCCAGCAGCCG